GAAGAAGAAGAAGAAGAAGAGUGACAGCCUGCUGCAUGAUAAAGAAGGGGGGAAAAAGUGGAGCAGUAGCAGAAAAGUAACGUGUGGGAGAAGGAGAAUGGGAAAAGAACUGACCUGAUUGGAGUCUUGGGAAAACUAAAAGACAACUUUUAACUUUUUUUAGCUUUUUACUUUCUUGGAAUUAGGUGGCUGGCUGCUUAGGGACACGUGGUGCCAAGAAGUGAAAAGAAAAGCUGAUCAACUUCUCUCUUAGAAUUUUUUUUUUUUAAUUUCUUGCUU
rnacentral:misc_RNA from 1 species